AGUCAUGGCCGUUCCAACAUAACAAACCGGAAUCUCUGGCAAAAAUUAGACAACCAAAAACAACUGGGACACAAUAUGGACUAAUGUUGGACAGACAAUAAUGUUGGAAGACAAUCUGUUAGGAAUCUGCGAAUGAUAUUUUUGUUUUGUAACAUGAUAAAUGUAUUGUAAGAAAUUAUGUGUCAUUAAAAAAAACAUGUCAUUUAUAAAUAA